rnacentral:rRNA from 1 species
GCAAGUCGAACGCGUUGGCCCAAUUGAUUGAUGGUGCUUGCANNUGAUUGAUUUUGGUCGCCAACGAGUGGCGGACGGGUG